CGGCACGGCACGGCACGGCGCGGCCGCCCGCUGGGAGGGCAGGGGGAGCGGGCGGCGAGGCCUACCUCCGGGGGCACCAGGAAGCCCGGCCACAGCCGACUCUCAGGGAAGAAAAGCCGCACAAAGGGGGGAAAUAAAACGUUCGCGAGUUGAAAGAAGACUGCUGAAAGAGGGAGAAAGAUAUUUGAAUUGCUAUUGCUGCUGGAGAAAAGGAAUGAAAAAGAAGUCUUCAGUGGAUCAGGGAAUAUCAGACUAUACAUUGUCCAUCUGUGUGAAAUCUAGUUCUGGAAAAGCAGAAGAAUGAAAGCUUCGCCCACAAGCAAGAACGGCACAAACUACGGCAGCGCGCUUUUCUCUACUGUGCUCUACACAGGUACCUUUGUGAUGAUGCCAGCAAGGGCAGCCUACGCAGCACGGAGGGGGCUUUACUGUUUGCAU
rnacentral:lncRNA from 1 species